rnacentral:rRNA from 1 species
UUAUAUCAGAUAAAGAGUCGAACCUGCCCAGUGAUUUUUAUUUAACGGCCGCGGUACUCUGACCGUGCAAAGGUAGCAUAAUCAUUUGCCUUAUAAUUAAAGGCUAGUAUGAACGGUUUGACAAGAAUGGGACUGUCUCUAACAAGUUUUAUAGAAUUUGGUUUUUAGGUGAAGAAACCUAAAUAAAAUUGAAAGACAAAAAGACCCUAUCGAGCUUUAAAAAAUUUCUUUGACAUUAUAAGAAAACUAGUUUCAUUGAAAAAUUUUGGUUGGGGCGACUAAGGAACAUAAAAAACUUCCUAUAAAAUACAAAAACUUUUAAGUCUUGAUCCAAAAGUUUUGAUUAACAGAAUUAGUUACCGUAGGGAUAACAGCAUAAUCUUUCUUGAGAGCUCCCAUCGAAAGAAAGGUUUGUGACCUCGAUGUUGGACUAGGGUACCCAGAAAGGUGUAGAAGCCUUCAAUGGUUGGUCUGUUCGACCA